GUCCCCCAUGAACAUCGACAGAAAUAUCACUCAUCUGCAGUACUGCGUGUGCAUCGACGACUGCUCCUCCAGCAACUGCAUGUGCGGCCAGCUCAGCAUGCGCUGCUGGUACGACAAGGUGAGGGCGGCCUCGUGUGCGUGGGCUCAGGUGGUAAGUGCCGCUGGUCCGGGCCUGCAAACACAGUGCAGGCAUCUGGGACCCCAGCGCUGUCGUGGCAGCGUCGGGAAGGAGUUGGAGGUGAGCUGGGUGUGACAGGCAGGGGAGGCACAGCGGGCACCAGCACCCGAGUCGGGGUCGCGAGCCGAGGACGUGGCUGCGGAGUCCCUGGGGCUGGGGUCUGCAUCCUUCGUGGCUGCCUGGAUGGUGGCGGGGGUGGGCAGCGUCAGCCUGGCUUGGCCCCAGGAGGAGGUGCUGCUUGUGUUGUGUGUAUCUGGUA
rnacentral:sRNA from 1 species